AACUGCCUGCAACAUCCGCCUGAUCCAUGUGGCAGCUGCACUCCGACAUCUACAGAGUAUUUACAAUGCUUAUACACAAGAGAAUAAAGAUAUUUCUCUGGUGUUUUGUGGAGACUUCAACAGCGCACCUCACUUGGGUGUCUUUCAGUUAAUGACGUCACAGUUUAUUCCAGCUGAUCAUGCGGACUGGAGUUCAGCUGGCAAGGAAGAAAAGUUGUCUACCCUAGAACUGCAGCACCCAAUGAAUAUAGUGAGUGCUUGUGGUACGCCAGCCUACACAAACUUCACACAAGGCUUCCAGGCAACUCUGGACUAUAUUUUUAUAGACUCUGACAAGCUCCAGGUCACGCA